UUAUAUGGUCAAGAAGAGAAGCGCAAACGGUGGAUGCCUUGGCAGUAAGAGGCGAUGAAGGACGUGGAAUCCUGCGAAAAGCUUCGGUGAGCUGGAAACGAGCGAAUAACCGGAGAUGUCCGAAUGGGGGAACCCGGCCAUGAGCAGUCAUGGUCAUCUGCUACUGAAUACAUAGGUAGUAGAGGCGAACUCGGGGAACUGAAACAUCUAAGUACCCGAAGGAAAAGAAAUCAAAAGAGAUUCUCCAAGUAGCGGCGAGCGAACGGGGAAGAGCCUGGUGUGAUUUAUAGUGCAAUGAAGUAGAACAACUUGGGAAGGUUGGCCAUAGAGGGUGAAAGCCCCGUAUAUAUAGGUUGCAUUAAGAACUAAGCACGCGAAGAAGUAGGCCGGGACACGUGUAAUCCUGGUUGAAUAUGGGUGGACCAUCAUCCAAGGCUAAAUACUACUUACUGACCGAUAGUGAACCAGUACCGUGAGGGAAAGGCGAAAAGAACCCCGGAGAGGGGAGUGAAAUAGAACCUGAAACCGUUUGCGUACAAGCAGUGGGAGCACCUUCGAGGUGUGACUGCGUACCUUUUGUAUAAUGGGUCAGCGAGUUACUUUCAGUGGCGAGGUUAACUGAAUAAGGAAGCCGUAGAGAAAUCGAGUCUGAAUAGGGCGCGAGUCGCUGUGAGUAGACCCGAAACCGGGCGAUCUAGUCAUGUGCAGGAUGAAGGUUGGGUAACACCAACUGGAGGUCCGAACCGGGUAAUGUUGAAAAAUUAUCGGAUGACGUGUGACUAGGAGUGAAAGGCUAAUCAAGCCCGGAGAUAGCUGGUUCUCCCCGAAAGCUAUUUAGGUAGCGCCUCGUGAAUGAUUACUGGGGGUAGAGCACUGUUUCGGCUAGGGGGCUGUCAUGGCUUACCAAACCGAUGCAAACUCCGAAUACCGGCUAAUUGAAUCACGGGAGACACACGGCGGGUGCUAACGUCCGUCGUGAAGAGGGAAACAACCCAGACCGCCAGCUAAGGUCCCAAAGUACUAGUUAAGUGGGAAACGAUGUGGGAAGGCAUAGACAGCCAGGAGGUUGGCUUAGAAGCAGCCACCCUUUAAAGAAAGCGUAAUAGCUCACUGGUCGAGUCGGCCUGCGCGGAAGAUGUAACGGGGCUAAAACUAGUCACCGAAGCUGCGGAUGUGCACUAAGUGCACGUGGUAGGGGAGCGUUCUGUAGGCUGAUGAAGGUGGAUUGAGAAGUCUGCUGGAGGUAUCAGAAGUGCGAAUGCUGACAUGAGUAACGAUAAUGAGGGUGAAAAGCCCUCACGCCGGAAGUCCCAGGUUUCCUGCACGACGUUAAUCGGAGCAGGGUGAGUCGGCCCCUAAGGCGAGGCUGAAGAGCGUAGUCGAUGGGAACCAGGUUAAUAUUCCUGGACUUUUUAUAAGUGGUGAAGUGGGGACGAAGAAGGCUAGGUGAGCCAGGCGUUGGUUGUCCUGGUAUGUGCAUAUAGGGGGGUAGACUAGGCAAAUCCGGUUUACUGAUAACCCUGAGGUGCGACAUGGUGCUGACACUUCGGUGUACGGCGAAGUCAUUGAUGCCCGGCUUCCAGGAAAAGCUGCUAGCCAUAACUUAUAGAGAACCGUACCGCAAACCGACACAGGUGGACAGGUAGAGAAUACUAAGGCGCUUGAGAGAACUCGGGUGAAGGAACUAGGCAAAAUGGUACCGUAACUUCGGGAGAAGGUACGCCCUUUUUGGUGAUGGGAUUUACUUUCAGAGCUGAAGAGGGCCGCAGAGACCAGGUGGCUGCGACUGUUUAUUAAAAACACAGCACUCUGCAAAUUCGUAAGAAGACGUAUAGGGUGUGACGCCUGCCCGGUGCCGGAAGGUUAAUUGAUGGGGUUAUCUUCGGAGAAGCUCUUGAUCGAAGCCCCGGUAAACGGCGGCCGUAACUAUAACGGUCCUAAGGUAGCGAAAUUCCUUGUCGGGUAAGUUCCGACCUGCACGAAUGGCGUAACGAUGGCCACACUGUCUCCACCCGAGACUCAGUGAAAUUGAAAUCGCUGUGAAGAUGCAGUGUACCCGCGGCUAGACGGAAAGACCCCGUGAACCUUUACUAUAGUUUUGCACUGGACUUUGAU
rnacentral:rRNA from 1 species